rnacentral:rRNA from 1 species
GACGAACGCUGGCGGCGUGCUUAACACAUGCAAGUCGAACGGUGAAGCGCCUUCCUUUUUGGUGGGUGUGGAUGAGUGGCGAACGGGUGAGUAACACGUGAGUAACCUGCCCCCUUCUUCUGGAUAACCGCAUGAAAGUGUGGCUAAUACGGGAUAUUCUGGGUCUGUCGCAUGAUGGGUCUGGGAAAGAUAUUGUUUCGGUGGGGGAUGGGCUCGCGGCCUAUCAGCUUGUUGGUGGGGUGAUGGCCUACCAAGGCGGUGACGGGUAGCCGGCCUGAGAGGGUGGACGGUCACACUGGGACUGAGACACGGCCCAGACUCCUACGGGAGGCAGCAGUGGGGAACAUUGCACAAUGGGCGCAAGCCUGAUGCAGCGACGCCGCGUGAGGGAUGGAGGCCUUCGGGUUGUGAACCUCUUUCGCCAGUGAAGCAGGCCUGCCUCGUUUGUGGGUGGGUUGACGGUAGCUGGAGAAGAAGCGCCGGCUAACUACGUG